GAUGAACGCUAGCGGCAGGCUUAACACAUGCAAGUCGAGGGGUAUUGAGGCUUCGGCCUUGAGAGACCGGCAAACGGGUGCGGAACACGUACACAACCUACCUUUAUCAGGGGGAUAGCCUUCGGAAACGGAGAUUAAUACCCCAUAGUAUUAAUGACUGGCAUCAGUUGAUAAUUAAAGAAUUUCGGAUAGAGAUGGGUGUGCGUAAGAUUAGCUAGUUGGUGAGGUAACGGCUCACCAAGGCGACGAUCUUUAGCUGAUGUGAGAGCAUGAUCAGCCACGGGCACUGAGACACGGGCCCGAAUCCUACGGGAGGCAGCAGUGAGGAAUAUUGGUCAAUGGACGGAAGUCUGAACCAGCCAUGCCGCGUGAAGGAUGAAGGCGUUCUGCGUUGUAAACUGCUUCUCUAAGGGAAGAAACCUAUCUACGUGUAGGUAGUUGCCGGUACCUUAGGAAUAAGCAUCGGCUAACUCCGUGCCAGCCGCCGCGGUAAAAC
rnacentral:rRNA from 1 species